UAAGGUCAACAGUGCCAUGCUGAUUGCUACUUCGUGAAGAUCAGCCGUGACUUCAAAUAGUAGAAUGUUCAACUAGCGAUGGCUUAGGCAAUAGAGACAGUUACUUCACAUACCCUCAAGAGGCCCCACUCUCUGUUUUUCUGCUCUAGCAUCCUCAGCUUUUCCUCAGUUGGCUUUUCUUUCUCAUUCCGGUCACCUGAAAGCCACACCAUGGCUUCCACGACUCUGAGCAUCACACAGUAAGGAGUAAGGAAGGAAGGAGGGGAGGAUGCCAUAGUGACAAAAGAUACCUGUGUGCACCUUUCUCCUUUUUAAUCAGGAAUGGAAAACGUUUCCCAAAAUCUCCUCAGGAAACCUCCUUCUAGGUCUGUCAUAACUUUCUCCCAUGCAAGAGUGUCUGAAACAGAGUCAGACGCAAAAGAGGAACGGCGGCUGGCACACAGUCCAUGCUCCACCAACACUGUCAACUGAAGGGAUGAGCAUCAGAGUUGGACAUGAGUGGAAGUGAAUAUUAACUGAAAUCCAGUAAGUUCAUAAAUAGAGGGGUCAUAGAGGCAGCGACAGACCACAGUGUUCCUAGGAUGAAAAAGAUGAGGAGCUGAAGAGAUGGUGCUUAUAUAUCGGAUAAAACCAAGAGCUGACAAGUGGAAGGCUGAGGUCAGCUGCUACAAUGAAAAGUCACGCUAUCUCACCUACAGCCCAUUUCUGAGUCAAGUCUCAUCCCAGAGCCCAUUGACUGAAGGAGAGACCAUGUUCUCUAGAGGAGAGAGUCUGGAACCAAAUCAAGUAAAGAGCUCUGGAGCCAGAGGACCUCCAGGAUUGGUGAAACAGCUCUGCAGCACCAUCGAGGCCCAGGGUCAUCUGCCGUCCACAGCAAGCCUGGGCAUGUUGAUUUCUUCCCUCCGUUUGUCCUCUUCAUGCUCACAAAACCACUGCCAUGUCUCUAGGGCCUCACAUCCUUGCAAGUUUUGCCUCAAGUACCUUUUCUCUUUGGACAACUCUGUUGCCUGAAAUAUAUAAAAAUCAAGUCUGGUUGGCAAGGAAAAUGGGGUGAAUGAUUGCUGGAUAGGCAUCCAGUUCUCCCUGCUUUAACCAAUGUGCCUAGAUUAUGUCCUUAUCUCCAAGUAGUUUUUGUUGCCUAGAGGUCUGGAGCAUCUAAUCUUUGUGGAAAGGGGACAAGGACAGUGAAAAUGAGAAUGUUUUUCAUGUAGUUAAGGUGAUUAAGGCCAUAGAGAUAUAUUUGAAACAAAAUCAUAAUUUUUCUUCCAAAGUGGUACCGAAU
rnacentral:lncRNA from 1 species